rnacentral:rRNA from 1 species
GAUGAACGCUGGCGGCGUGCCUAAUACAUGCAAGUCGAGCGAACGGACGAGAAGCUUGCUUCUCUGAUGUUAGCGGCGGACGGGUGAGUAACACGUGGAUAACCUACCUAUAAGACUGGGAUAACUUCGGGAAACCGUAGCUAAUACCGGAUAAUAUUUUGAUCCGCAUGGUUCAAAAGUGAAAGACGGUCUUGCUGUCACUUAUAGAUGGAUCCGCGCUGCAUUAGCUAGUUGGUAAGGUAACGGCUUACCAAGGCAACGAUGCAUAGCCGACCUGAGAGGGUGAUCGGCCACACUGGAACUGAGACACGGUCCAGACUCCUACGGGAGGCAGCAGUAGGGAAUCUUCCGCAAUGGGCGAAAGCCUGACGGAGCAACGCCGCGUGAGUGAUGAAGGUCUUCGGAUCGUAAAACUCUGUUAUUAGGGAAGAACAUAUGUGUAAGUAACUGUGCACAUCUUGACGGUACCUAAUCAGAAAGCCACGGCUAACUACGUG